rnacentral:lncRNA from 1 species
UUGGUAGGUUUUGUUCUGUCUUAGGAUUGCUGCUUGUGAUACGGGAGGUAAGGGUGGCAGCGACCCGGGGGCGGUAGGAGAUAACGCUAUAUCGCCUAUGGUGAACUGCGUUCAUCGAAACACUGAAGGAAUUGCAGUUGCCACGUGUCAUGAAGACUGGGAGGAGAAGGCUAGCCUGUAGAAGAAGGGACUGCUGUCAAUUCACCCACGCAGCAGUAGGGGGAAGUUUUAUAUCUACUGGUUAGCAACGCUGUUUGAAGGCUCAAGAGCAUCCAGCGGCAGGGCUCCCGAUCCACAAAGACCCUGGGGAAAUCACCAGCUCGCCCACGAGCAGUUAUGGGCCUCAGUCGAUGGUAUCCGCUUCUUUAUACCCAGGAAGUACGGCUUUGAUUUGCGCAACGACAUCAUGUUCCUCCAGAAACGCUACUUGCUUCUACACUUGCUGUCCAGAGAUGAGUCAUCUUCGUGGAUGCGUGCUCGCAUGCAGAAUUCGCUCUAGGAAUGCUUGGCGUCUUACCACAAGAGGGGGGGCGUAUCCCUGAGUUGUUCGUACGGGAAUCGAGUUUCUCCCGUGGAACGAGUUCAUUUAUGGGUGGUUGUGUCUUGUUGCUCCGUUUGUAGUUGGUAAGGUCAAGUCCUCUUACCUAUGCUGCGUCGCAUUUAUCUUUGAAGCUCGAUGCAUGGAGUGUGCUUUGGCUAGAGAAAGAAAUGUCUUACCAAUUUCUUCACGGGUAUGGUUGUCUCCCCUGCCAUUGCUUUGUUUCUUCAGGAAGUGAGCAUCGAAAUUGUCUGCCUACAGCUGCCGUACUCUCUGACGUCGCUGUGGCAGCAGGUGAAUUGUCAUGCAACCACCUGUGUGUAAAACAAAAUCCAGGAAGUACGCUUUGGCCUGUAUACCUGUGACGCCGCGGAAGCCCCACAGGGGCCUCACGAAUAAUCAGCAAAAAUAUGAUUUCUGGUAUUCACAGAACUGGGCUUCUGGCACGUUGGAUUCUUAUCUGUCUUUAAUCUCUACUGGGGGCCGCUGCUCCAAGCCCAGCGGUCCUUUCGAAGGAAUUACUAUGCGUCGCAACGUCCAAACGGUAGUAUGUAAGCCAGAAUAAGUCUAGGAAUUUGUCUUGUGGGUUUUCAUCCAUCGUUCUUCGCACAGGUCGUAAGUGCACAUUUUAGCACGCGUUGAUGAGCUACCCUACUGCUCGUUUCGUUCACAUUGUACCAGUCAAAAAGAAUAUACUGUGAUUUUGAUGUGUGUGGGUCUCUGAGAGAGUCCCUAAACCGCAAACAUUCUCUCCGAUCCAAUUUUGUCGCAGAUCGUGAGUCUCAACGACGUGGUCUGGGAACCUCGUUGAUUUUCAGGUGCUUUUCGCAACCCUCAUGUAAUUCCCUUCUUCGGUAGGCAGAAAACGUCCUGCAAUCUGGUGUGGCGCGUUGCUGCAGACUGUAAGGUUGAAUGGUGGAACUCCCAGCACCCAGCAUAGUGUCUGGUUCCAUCGAAGGCAGGUUGGAGUUGUUGCAGAUGUGCGAUUCUGUUUCAGGUUCGUGCUUUCAAAAUGCUCGGGCGAUCACUUAACGCCCACUGCGUAAAGCGUGUGUGUCUCUGUGCAAAUGCUCCUCCAGCUACUCUAGCGACCUUUAGUGUGUGCGACAGUGGCAGUACGGGCGAAUCGGUCUCGUCCGGCGACGACGCUAACUUUUCGGCUAAGCGUCCGCCUUCUCUGAAACACACAAUUUCCCUCUCACCGUUGGUAUAAUCUCAAAGUACCCGAAGUCAACACGUAGUCGUGCAAUUCGAGCUGGGUGUUGCUCUUGUCACCCGUGGCGAGACCGGCGACAGCUUCAAACCAAAAGGUCGCCUGUGAAUGUGUUAGGCGUCUGCGUACCGCUGAUGCCUGCACUGUGAGCCUGUUUGAACAUUCUUCUGUGCAGCCGGUACGAUAGGAAACUGCCGGUGCUGAGCGGGCCAGUUAUGCUGUCAGCGCAGCCCCUGGUAGCAGGAUCGCCUAGGAGUUCGAUGGUGUCCGUUGCGUUCAGCGUUGCGCGCGCGUGCUGCCACCAAUUUGUCGUCGGCAAUGUCAAGGGACCAACAGUGUUAUUAGUCAUUAAAGUACCAGGAGAAGUUGUGUUGUCCAUGUGCGUAUCCACGCUCUCGUCAGGUGACAGAG